rnacentral:rRNA from 1 species
GACGAACGCUGGCGGCGUGCCUAAUACAUGCAAGUCGAACGGAGCGGCGGACGGGUGAGUAAUGCCUAGGAAUCUGCCUGGUAGUGGGGGAUAACGUCCGGAAACGGGCGCUAAUACCGCAUACUCUCAGCUGAGCCUAGGUCGGAUUAGCUCGUUGGUGGGGUAAAGGCCUACAAAGGCGACGAUCCGUAACUGGUCUGCGAGGAUGAUCAGUCACACUGGAACUGAGACACGGUCCAGACUCCUACGGGAGGCAGCAUGGGGGAAUAUUGGACAAUGGGCGAAAGCCUGAUCCAGCCAUGCCGCGUGUGUGAAGAAGGUCUUCGGAUUGUAAAGCACUUUAAGUUGGGAGGCGGUACCAACAGAAUAAGCACCGGCUAACUUCGUGCCAGCAGCCGCGGUAAUUC